rnacentral:rRNA from 1 species
GAUUAACGCUAGCGGCAGGCCUAAUACAUGCAAGUCGAACGGUAACAGGUGUAGCAAUACAUGCUGACGAGUGGCGCACGGGUGCGUAACACGUAUGCAACCUACCUAUAACUGGGGAAUAGCCUUCCGAAAGGAAGAUUAACACCGCAUAACAUCACGAAACGGCAUCGUUUUGUGAUCAAACCUCCGGGGGUUAUAGAUGGGCAUGCGUAACAUUAGCUAGUUGGUGAGGUAAUGGCUCACCAAGGCUACGAUGUUUAGGGGGUCUGAGAGGAUGAUCCCCCAAACUGGUACUGCGACACGGAGCAGACUCCUACGGGAGGCAGCAGUAAGGAAUAAUGGGAAGUGGGGGCAACCCUGAUCCAGCAAUGCCGCGUGAAGGAUGAAGGCCCUCUGGGUUGUAAACUUCUUUUGUACGGGAAUAAACCCCUUUACGUGUAGAGGGUUGAAUGUACCGUAAGAAUAAGGAUCGGCUAACUUCGUGCCAGCCGCCGCGGUAA